GUGCACAGAGAACACCCCAAGCAUGCUCUGUAGCUCCCUUGGUUUUUAUUCUGUGCUAAAUUGAUAUCUGUCCUUUUACCUCUGCGUCCAGAUGAGUUUUUAUUCUUCUGCACGUAUUCAGAAGUACAGUACAUUG